rnacentral:rRNA from 1 species
UACGAAGGGGGCUAGCGUUGCUCGGAAUUACUGGGCGUAAAGGGCGCGUAGGCGGCACUGUUAGUCAGGCGUGAAAGUCCUGGGCUCAACCUGGGAACUGCGCUUGAUACGGCAGAGCUAGAGGAUGGAAGAGGCUCGCGGAAUUCCCAGUGUAGAGGUGAAAUUCGUAGAUAUUGGGAAGAACACCGGUGGCGAAGGCGGCGAGCUGGUCCAUUACUGACGCUGAGGCGCGACAGCGUGGGGAGCAACAGGAUUG